GAAGGUUUAGAAAACAUGAUGCACUUAAGCUCAAAACAAUGCAAUUUAAUUUAUCUCUAUUUAAAAACCCCUCAUUCAAACCCUUGGUCGUUUAGUUACUUGAUGGCAAAAGACUUAUGAACAACAAGGAAGUUGAGAAGAGAAAACUUUAGUAGAUUUCAAGCAAGUCAAGCAUAAUAGAUUGACUCUCACCGCAGCGAAAAGGCAUUCUCGCUG
rnacentral:lncRNA from 1 species